GGGCCCGUAGCGCAGUACGGACAGCGCGGCAGCCUCCUAAGCUGUAGGUCGUGCGUUCAAAUCGCACCGGGCCCG
rnacentral:tRNA from 2 species